rnacentral:rRNA from 1 species
UACAGAGGUCUCAAGCGUUGUUCGGAUUCAUUGGGCGUAAAGGGUGCGUAGGCGGCGUGGUAAGUCGGAUGUGAAAUCUCGGAGCUUAACUCCGAAACUGCAUUCGAUACUGCCGUGCUUGAGGACUGGAGAGGAGACUGGAAUUUACGGUGUAGCGGUGAAAUGCGUAGAUAUCGGGAGGAACACCAGUAGCGAAGGCGGCACUCUGGGCCGGAACUGACGCUGAGGAGCGAAAGCGUGGGGAGCGAACAGG